UCCCUGGUGGCUCAGAUGGUAAAGCAUCUGCUCGCAAUGCGGGAGACCCGGGAUCGAUCCCUGGUUUGGGAA
rnacentral:tRNA from 1 species